rnacentral:rRNA from 1 species
GAUAAACGCUGGCGGCGUGCCUUACGCAUGCAAGUCGAACGGCGCUUUGGUCUUCGGAUUGGAGUGCAGUGGCGGACGGGUGAGUAACACGUACGUAACCUGACCCGACGUGGGGGAUACCGGUCCGAAAGGGCCGCUAAUACCGCAUGUGGUCCGCGGGGGUACCCGUGGCAGAAAGGCUUGCUCGCAAGAGGAAGUCGCGUCGGGAGGGGCGUGCGGCCGAUUAGCUAGGUUGGGGG